CGGAUUGAUUGUCGUUGAAACGUGUGACUGCAUGACUGUGAAAAAAAAAAGGAGAGAAAGAGAGAGAAAAAAGGAGAGAAUAGUCCAGGCGUGCUUUAUCUUUCACGCGUGCUUUGCUAUCCGCAAUUUAUGCGGACACGCAUUCCGCCUAUUUUCAUAGCACACGUUUAUUACUCACCAAGAAGAAAAAAAGAUGAAUGAAUAAUCAAGUAUCAAAAGAAUUACAAUGUAAAUACAGACCGAUUAUAUUCGCCUACAGUCAUAAAACACGUUCUUUAUUACGUCUCUAUUGUCGCCUGGCAGCUUGUAAAGGUUAAACGCGAAAUCAUUGUGACAGAACUAUACUGCAACCUAUUCGUGACACCAAUCCCAGUUCCCCAAACCUCUCUCCGAUAUGUCAAUAUUCAUCUUCCCCCUCCUUUUCCUCCCCCCCCUCCCUUCAACGAAUAUUCUAUUUCAAUUAAAGUUCAAACCGAAGUAUCAAAGUAUCCCCAUAGAGAAAUUUUAAUGUAUACAAAAAAUUUAUAAUAA